GUUUCCGGAACCUCCGAGUGUCAUCCGCGGGGAAAGGUGGGGAAGGGUCCCGGGAACGUGGUGGGGCAGGGCCUCCGAGCGUGGUUGGACUUUGAAGGGGAGCGGCCGCCAUGCUGCAUCCCCUUUUUGGAAUUGCUCAACCGGGUGGUAACCGGCGCCGCUUCCUGGCCUCGGGAAGUGGUUCCUUUCUUAACCCACAAGAACCUCUCCCAAGAGAACUUGGUCCUGAUGUCUGACCAUGGAGAUGUGAGCCUCCCGCCCGAAGACCGGGUGAGGGCUCUCUCCCAGCUGGGUAGUGCGGUAGAGGUGAAUGAAGACAUUCCACCCCGUCGGUACUUCCGCUCUGGAGUUGAGAUUAUCCGAAUGGCAUCCAUUUACUCUGAGGAAGGCAACAUUGAACAUGCCUUCAUCCUCUAUAACAAGUAUAUCACGCUCUUUAUUGAGAAACUACCAAAGCAUCGAGAUUACAAAUCUGCUGUCAUUCCUGAAAAGAAAGACACAGUAAAGAAAUUAAAGGAGAUUGCGUUUCCCAAAGCAGAAGAGCUGAAGGCAGAGCUGUUAAAACGAUAUACCAAAGAAUACACAGAAUAUAAUGAAGAAAAGAAGAAGGAAGCAGAGGAAUUGGCCCGGAACAUGGCCAUCCAGCAAGAGCUGGAAAAGGAAAAACAGAGGGUAGCACAACAGAAGCAGCAGCAAUUGGAACAGGAACAGUUCCAUGCCUUCGAGGAGAUGAUCCGGAACCAGGAGCUAGAAAAAGAGCGACUGAAAAUUGUACAGGAGUUUGGGAAGGUGGACCCUGGCCUAGGUGGCCCGCUAGUGCCUGACUUGGAGAAGCCCUCCUUAGAUGUGUUCCCCACCUCACCAGUCUCAUCCAUACAGCCUUCAGACUGUCACACAACUGUAAGGCCAGCUAAGCCACCUGUGGUGGACAGGUCCUUGAAACCUGGAGCACUGAGCAACUCAGAAAGUAUUCCCACAAUCGAUGGAUUGCGCCAUGUGGUGGUGCCUGGGCGGCUGUGCCCACAGUUUCUCCAGUUAGCCAGUGCCAACACUGCCCGGGGAGUGGAGACAUGUGGAAUUCUCUGUGGAAAACUGAUGAGGAAUGAAUUUACCAUUACCCAUGUUCUCAUCCCCAAGCAAAGUGCUGGGUCUGAUUACUGCAACACAGAGAAUGAAGAAGAACUUUUCCUCAUACAGGAUCAGCAGGGCCUCAUCACACUGGGCUGGAUUCAUACUCACCCCACACAGACUGCGUUUCUCUCCAGUGUCGACCUACACACUCACUGCUCUUAUCAGAUGAUGUUGCCAGAGUCAGUAGCCAUUGUUUGCUCCCCCAAGUUCCAAGAAACUGGAUUAUUUAAACUAACUGACCAUGGACUAGAGGAGAUUUCUUCCUGUCGCCAGAAAGGAUUUCAUCCACACAGCAAGGAUCCACCUCUGUUCUGUAGCUGCAGCCACGUGACUGUUGUGGACAGAGCAGUGACCAUCACAGACCUUCGAUGAGCGUUUGAGUCCAACACCUUCCAAGAACAACAAAACCAUAUCAGUAAACCAAAACUUCAUUGCCCCUUCAAUGUGGGAAUCCAGCCAGACCUUACUCUUGGACAGCAUCAGUGAAAGGGGCUUGGGAAAGCUCUUGGGCGUAGCAGCAGAGGCAUGUCAUAUAUGGAAACCUUCCAUGAGGGUGACCUCACCACUGGAACCCGUUCAACAUAAACCUUGCUGCAAGAACUAGCAGAGCUCUUUGGACAAAACGUGGAGCAGAUAAUGAAGUAAGAUAAAGGAGCCCUACUGUCGCAGUGCAAGAGCAACUCAUGAUCAAUGAGUGUAUGCAGAAUCAUGAGCACCAACUCUAUUCCGAAGCGUUGAGGCUCACCAAGAUGGAGGAACAGAGCCCGUGGCCCACUUACUACAUGGAUUCCCACUUUACAGUGGAGAAGGAGCUUGCAGUAACCACAAAAGUUUCUGUAUAAGCAAAUUUAGGGAAUUGAAUUUCAGACAGUGUGGUUGUCUCCUUACUUAUAAACUUGGGAAUACUUACCUAGGUAACAACUAACAUCAGAGGUUUUUGAUCUGUAGCCUUUCUUUCUGUCCAUAAUUAGCUAAUAGCUUCUGCUGUGCAAAUACAAAACAUUCCCUGUCCAAGAAAAUUAAACUAUAUCAUCAGAGU